GACAUGUGCGCGAGUCGAAGGGGCUCGACCAAGCCCGGAGGCGCAGAGAAAUCGUUUCCGGGGAUCCCUCCGCUCUGGCGGCUGGGCGCACCCGGGGCCCGUCCGAACGUGGGUUCCGACCUCUGAAGUAGGACGGAGUCUGAGCGCACGCGUUCCGACCCGAUAGACGGUGAACUAUGCCCGGGCGGGACGAAGCCGGGGGAAACCCCGGUGGAAGUCCGAAGCGGUUCUGACGUGCAAAUCGAUCGUCUGACCGGGGUAUAGGGGCGAUAGACCAAUCGAACCGUCUGGUAGCUGGUUCCCUCCGAAGUUUCCCUCAGGAUAGCUGGCGCUCGAGGGUGAAACGGUCUCGUCCGAUAAAGCGAAUGACUAGAGGCAGCCGGGCCGAAACGACCUGGACCUAUUCUCAAACUUUAAAUGGGCGAGAGGACCGCCCGUCCCAUCCGCGGGUCGGACCAUCUCGUAGACGAGAGUGCCCAGUGGGCCGCUUUUGGUAAGCAGAACCGGCGCUGCGGGAUGAACCGAAUGCGGGGUUAAGGCGCCCGAUGCGGGACGCUCACGAGACCCCAUGAAAGGCGUCGGUCGCUCCAGACAACAGGACGGUGGCCAUGGAAGUCGGAACCCGCCAAGGAGUGUGUAACAACUCGCCUGCCGAAGCGACCGGCCCUGAAAAUGGAUGGCGCUCCAGCGUCGAGCCCAUACCCCGCCGCCGGGGCAGAAAUACUGCAUAUCGAUAUGCCCCGGCGAGUAGGAGGGAGCGCCUCGGUGCGGCGCGGAAGGGUAGGUGCGCGAGCACGCCCGGAGCCGCCGAGGGUGCAGAUCUUGGUGGUAGUAGCAAAUACUCGAGUGAGAGCCUCGAGGACCGAAGUCGGAGAAGGGUUCCAUGUGAACAGCAGUUGAACAUGGGUCAGUCGGUCCGUGAGGGGCGGGUGAAAACCCGAUCAGCGGCCUACUUUACGUGGCCGCGUAGCCCCGAACGGGAAGGGGGUUAAUAUUCCCCCACCUGCACACGGAGGUCGGGGACYGAGURGCUUGGCAGUCCGGGUCGAAAGGCCUGGUUCGCCUCGCCGCAAAGUCCCCCGACGCGGUAACGCAACCGGACUCGGCGACGGCUGCGGAGGACCCGGGGAAGAGAUGCCUCUUCUUCUUAAGAGGCCCGUAUCCCUGGAAUCGGUUCAUCCGGAGAUAGGGAUGAGUGGCUUCGGAAGAGCACCGCGACUCCCGCGGUGUCCGGUCCCCCUCUGCGGUCCCUUGAAAAACCGAGCGAGGGGCAUGAUUUUCGUGGCAGGCCGUACCUCAAUCCGCACCAGGUCUCCAAGGUGAAC
rnacentral:rRNA from 1 species